CUACCGUUUCUCUUUUGCUGUACUCGUUGAAAUCUGUAUCAAACUUGAACCAUGCGGAUAUUUGUCUCCUUUCUUGCUUUCUUUUCCUGGAUGCUCUUGUUUUCUCCAGGAGGUAAUGCUCAGAGUGACAUAGAUACUCCUGAGGAAUGUGAAAAGGCUGAAGGUUGGUGCAGAGAUGAACCUUGCCAGAUUGGACCCAUGGAAGUUGGAACAUGUGGAGAAGCAGGGGAUUAUUGCUGCUCAGGAAAUUACUGAAAUGGAAGAACAGUUAAGCAAGAAUUAUUGUCUUCAAUGCCAAACCAACUUCCUGCCAACUGACACAGAGAAGAGGUUACAGUGGAGUCAAAUUCAUGCACAACUGAUGGAGUCAUCAAUUUAAUUUUCCUAAGAACACAUGUAAUAUCUGAAAUAAAUAGAUAAUAGAUGAUCAAAA